GAUGGUCCUUUACCUGGACAGUGCCAUCACUAAACAGCAUGAGGAGAGCCUGAUCCGUCUUGACCCACUGCAGCAGCAAGGGCGGGGCAGCUUUGAGUACCACCCCCCACCACCAAGGGGGAAUCAGAAGGGAUCAGGAUGUGUUGGUUUUCAGUGUGCCACAGCUCCACCCCUCACACCUUCAUGAGGUGCUGCUCCAUGUAGGAGGGCUCAGGAGUCUCACCCAACUUGAGGUCCCGGUGCAAGAUGCCCCGCUGGUGCAAGUACUUAAGGCCUGAAAGGAUCUGCCGCAGGUCAGCAGUCUUCCUGUGGGGAGAUGGUGGUGGGGCUAGAAAGCACAAAUCCCCAGGGCUCCCAGCACCAUGACGGUUUCAUACACUCUCAAAGUGGCAGAGGCCCGCUUUGGGGGUUUCUCUGGACUGCUUCUCCGAUGGAGGGGAAGCAUCUACAAGCUCCUCUACAAGGAAUUCUUCCUCUUUGUGGCCUUGUACGCUGUGCUUAGCAUCAUCUACCGGCUGCUACUGACCCAGGAGCAGAGGCACGUGUAUGCUCAGGUGGCCCGGUACUGCAACCGCUCAGCGAACCUCAUCCCCUUGUCCUUUGUACUGGGUUUCUAUGUGACUCUGGUGGUGAACCGCUGGUGGUCUCAGUACACAAGCAUCCCGCUGCCAGACCAGCUGAUGUGCGUCAUCUCGGCCAGCGUGCACGGCGUGGACCAGCGGGGCCGCCUGCUGCGUCGCACCCUCAUCCGCUACGCGAACCUGGCGUCCGUGCUGGUGCUGCGCUCGGUCAGCACCCGCGUGCUCAAGCGCUUCCCCACCAUGGAGCACGUGGUGGACGCAGGUGCGCCGCUCGCCGGGAGCCUCUGGGGGGCCGGCCCACGGCCGGAUGCAGGUUUCAUGUCGCAGGAAGAGAGGAAAAAGUUUGAGAGCCUGAAAUCCGACUUCAACAAAUACUGGGUGCCCUGUGUCUGGUUCACCAACCUAGCGGCCCAGGCCCGGAGGGACGGGCGAAUCCGUGACGACAUCGCUCUCUGUCUACUUUUGGAAGAGCUGAACAAGUACCGAGCCAAGUGCAGCAUGCUAUUCCACUAUGACUGGAUCAGCAUCCCCCUCGUCUACACCCAAGUGGUGACCAUAGCCGUCUACUCCUUCUUUGGCCUCUCCCUGGUUGGCCGCCAGUUUGUGGAGCCAGAGGCAGGGGCUGCCAAACCUCAGAAGCCUCUGGAGUCAGGCCAGGAGCCAGCCCCGGCCCUGGGAGACCUGGACAUGUAUGUGCCUCUCACCACUCUACUGCAGUUCUUCUUCUAUGCUGGCUGGCUCAAGGUGGCUGAACAGAUCAUCAACCCAUUUGGUGAGGACGAUGACGACUUUGAGACAAACCAGCUCAUAGACCGAAACUUGCAGGUGUCCCUGCUAUCCGUGGACGAAAUGUACCAGAACCUGCCCCCAGCCGAGAAGGACCAGUACUGGGAUGAGGACCAGCCGCAGCCACCCUACACUGUGGCCACGGCGGCCGAGUCUCUGCGGCCCUCCUUCCUGGGCUCCACCUUCAACCUGCGCAUGAGCGACGACCCUGAGCAGAGCCUGCAGGUGGAAGCGUCGCCCGCGUCUGGUCGGCUGGCGCCCGCCGCGCAGACCCCGCUGCUCGGCCGCUUCCUGGGCGCAGGGGCGCCCUCCCCGGCCAUCAGCCUCCGGAACUUCGGCCGCGCGCGAGGCACCCCCCGCACUCCGCAUCUGCUUCGCCUCCGGGCCGAGGAGGGCGGAGACCCCGAGGCCGCAUCCCGCAUCGAAGAAGAGGCGGCGGAGUCCGGGGACGAGGCCUUGGAGCCUUGAGGUCUCGCCUGCCCCUGCCUGCUUCCCCCCACUCACUGCCCCCCUUCCCUGCCAUGCGCGGUCCUGCCAGCCAGUUCUAUUAGAGCAGCUUUUCCUGAGUGCCUUGAAGGCCAAAGCAUUUAGGGACAGAACUUGAAAAAGAAGAUGGCAGGAGGGGCCUGAGCCAGGGCUGGGAAUGUGUCCACUUUGGUGGUAGAGAAGGUUGGAUGGGUUGCUUGGGGGAGGUCAAACUAGAAAAAUAAAAGCCUAGGCACAGAGGACUAGAGCCCAGGUGUACUGUUAGCUUCACAGCAACGGGGAGCUAGGCCAGCGGUUUUCAAACUUGAGGUAGGAUCAGCAUCACUGAAGCUCUUGUCAAAAGAGUGCAUUAGAUUUGGAAUGAUGCCCGAUAACUUGCAUUUCUAACAAGUUCCCAGGUGACGCUGUGCUGCUGGUCCAGGAAACACAAUCUGAGAGUCACGUGAAGCAGUACUUGGAGGGGUGCCAGAGACACAGCAGGAAACAACCUCAUUUCCCUGAAGUAACAUUCCAAAGGGAAGAAAGCAAACUUUGUCAGAUUAAGGAAUAAAGAGAAAAAAUCGGCAAAGUA